rnacentral:tRNA from 1 species
GGCGGCAUGGCCAAGCGGUAAGGCGGGGGACUGCAAAUCCUUUAUCCCCAGUUCGAAUCUGGGUGUCGCCUGAUCAACAAAA